rnacentral:rRNA from 1 species
UACGUAGGGUGCAAGCGUUGUCCGGAAUUAUUGGGCGUAAAGAGCUCGUAGGCGGUCUGUCGCGUCGGCUGUGAAAACUCGGGGCUCAACCCCGAGCCUGCAGUCGAUACGGGCAGACUAGAGUGCGGUAGGGGAGACUGGAAUUCCUGGUGUAGCGGUGAAAUGCGCAGAUAUCAGGAGGAACACCGGUGGCGAAGGCGGGUCUCUGGGCCGUACCUGACGCUGAGGCGCGAGAGCGUGGGGAGCAAACCGG